rnacentral:piRNA from 1 species
UUUAGCAAGAUCUAGAGAAAU